AUUGAACGCUGGCGGCAUGCUUUACACAUGCAAGUCGAACGGCGGCGCGGGCUUCGGCCUGGCGGCGAGUGGCGAACGGGUGAGUAAUACAUCGGAACGUGCCCAGUAGUGGGGGAUAGCUCGGCGAAAGCCGGAUUAAUACCGCAUACGACCUGAGGGUGAAAGCGGGGGAUCUUCGGACCUCGCGCUAUUGGAGCGGCCGAUGGCAGAUUAGCUAGUUGGUGGGGUAAAGGCCUACCAAGGCGACGAUCUGUAGCUGGUCUGAGAGGACGACCAGCCACACUGGGGCUGAGACACGGCCCAGACUCCUACGGGAGGCAGCAGUGGGGAAUUUUGGACAAUGGGCGAAAGCCUGAUCCAGCAAUGCCGCGUGUGUGAUGAAAGCCUUCGGGUUGUAAAGCACUUUUGGCGGGAACGAAAAGGACUGUGCCAAUACCACGGUUCGAUGACGGUACCCGCAGAAUAAGCACCGGCUAACUACGUG
rnacentral:rRNA from 1 species